rnacentral:rRNA from 1 species
UACGGGGGGGGCAAGCGUUGUUCGGAAUUACUGGGCGUAAAGGGUUCGUAGGUGGCUCGCUAAGUCAGACGUGAAAUUCCUCAGCUUAACUGGGGAACUGCGUCUGAGACUGGCAAGCUUGAGUGCAGGAGAGGAACGCGGAAUUCCAGGUGUAGCGGUGAAAUGCGUAGAUAUCUGGAGGAACACCGGUGGCGAAGGCGGCGUUCUGGACUGCAACUGACACUGAGGAACGAAAGCCAGGGGAGCAAACGGG